rnacentral:rRNA from 1 species
GUCGCAUGCUCCCGGGCGCCAUGGCGCCGCGGGAAUUCGAUUCGUAUUACCGCGGCUGCUGGCACGGAGUUAGCCGGUGCUUCUUCUGCGGGUAACGUCAAUCAACAGCGCUAUUCACGCUGUUGCCUUCCUCCCCGCUGAAAGUACUUUACAACCCGAAGGCCUUCUUCAUACACGCGGCAUGGCUGCAUCAGGCUUGCGCCCAUUGUGCAAUAUUCCCCACUGCUGCCUCCCGUAGGAGUCUGGGCCGUGUCUCAGUCCCAGUGUGGCUGGUCAUCCUCUCAGACCAGCUAGGGAUCGUCGCCUAGGUGAGCCAUUACCCCACCUACUAGCUAAUCCCAUCUGGGUUCAUCCGAUGGCGUGAGGCCCGAAGGUCCCCCACUUUACUCCAAAGAGGUUAUGCGGUAUUAGCCACCGUUUCCAGUGGUUAUCCCCCUCCAUCGGGCAGAUCCCCAGACAUUACUCACCCGUCCGCCGCUCGCCGGCAGGGAAGCAAGCUUCCCCCCGCUGCCGCUCGACUUGCAUGUGUUAGGCCUGCCGCCAGCGUUCAAUCUGAGCCAGGAUCAAACUCUAAUCACUAGUGAAUUCGCGGCCGCCUGCAGGUCGACCAUAUGGG